rnacentral:rRNA from 1 species
GACGAACGCUGGCGGCGUGCUUAACACAUGCAAGUCGAACGGAAAGGCCCUGCUUUUGUGGGGUGCUCGAGUGGCGAACGGGUGAGUAACACGUGAGUAACCUGCCCUUGACUUUGGGAUAACUUCAGGAAACUGGGGCUAAUACCGGAUAGGAGCUCCUGCUGCAUGGUGGGGGUUGGAAAGUUUCGGCGGUUGGGGAUGGACUCGCGGCUUAUCAGCUUGUUGGUGGGGUAGUGGCUUACCAAGGCUUUGACGGGUAGCCGGCCUGAGAGGGUGACCGGCCACAUUGGGACUGAGAUACGGCCCAGACUCCUACGGGAGGCAGCAGUGGGGAAUAUUGCACAAUGGGCGGAAGCCUGAUGCAGCAACGCCGCGUGCGGGAUGGCGGCCUUCGGGUUGUAAACCGAUUUCGCCUGUGACGAAGCGUGAGUGACGGUAAUGGGUAAAGAAGCAACGGCUAACUACGUG